rnacentral:rRNA from 8 species
CACCGCCUAUCGAAAGGGAAUCCGGUUAAUAUUCCGGAACCAAGUUAAGGACGCGAAAUGCGGCAACGCAAGUGAACCCAAAAACACCGGCGGGAAUCCUGGGAAGAGUUUUCUUUUCUUUUUAACAAACGGGCGGCGCGUUUCGGCGUGCCAAACAGCAGAUGACCCUGGAAUCAAUUUAGUUGGAGAAGGGGUUAAAAGUUUGGUAAAGUACUCCACUUUCAGGAGUAUCCGGUGCAUUCCCGACGGUCCGUGAAACUUUGGGGGAAAGAAUCAGUUUCUUAUUUGGUCGUACUCAUAACCGCAUCAGGUCUCCAAGGUUAGAAGCCUCUAGUCGAUAGAAAAAUGUAGGUAAGGGAAGUCGGCAUAAUAGAUCCGUAACUUCGGGAAAAGGAUUGGCUCUAAGUAUUGGGUGCUCGAGUCUGUAGGAAGAGCUUGAGGG